rfam:Pteropus alecto contig104272, whole genome shotgun sequence.
CCAACGGCUCUUUUAAGAGCCACCAACAUACUUCCAGGAAGGGUUG